rnacentral:rRNA from 1 species
UACGAAGGGGGCUAGCGUUGUUCGGAAUUACUGGGCGUAAAGCGCACGUAGGCGGAUAUUUAAGUCAGGGGUGAAAUCCCAGAGCUCAACUCUGGAACUGCCUUUGAUACUGGGUAUCUUGAGUAUGGAAGAGGUAAGUGGAAUUGCGAGUGUAGAGGUGAAAUUCGUAGAUAUUCGCAGGAACACCAGUGGCGAAGGCGGCUUACUGGCCCGAUACUGACGCUGAUGCGCGAAAGCGUGGGGAGCAAACAGG